GGAAUCUAUAAUUGCACAUUACUGUGGUACAGUGGAAAGUGAAGUGUUAUGGAGUUAGCCUACAACAGAGCGGCCUGUGGUGAAGUGCUAUGGUGACCGCAAUCAUCUGUGUUGUUAUUAUUCGUGAAUUUACAUGUAGCCUAAUGCUAAUGUGUCAGCACAGAUUCUUUCGAACACCCGUUAAGUUAAGUUAUCUGGUGAUAAAGCUUUUGAAUGCCAACGGUAUUGUUAUGUGAGGCUAGCAUUGUAAUUGUUAUAAAAGGAUAACGUUACAUUGUAGUCGUAUGUUAAGUGUGUUUGGAUGAAGCAUCUGCUAAUCAUACACAUAGCUAACGGUAUAUGGACAGCCCAUUAUGAUGUGGUAAAGUGACUGUGCUGUGGCAGAGACUGUAGCGUGUGUGCUUUACAUGAGAGAGGUCAGGGGUUCAAGACUGAGUCGAUGGGUGUGAGGUAUGGGUAGGCCUGUCAUGGGAGGCGGAAAAAUGGCCAGCAGGAAGGUGUGCAGCAGCCACUGGAAUGACCUCUUCCACCUCCUCCACUAACAGCUCCUCAUCAGCCGGCAGUGGGAUGUGAUCCUGAAGGGCCAUGUUGCAGAAGCGCCGCCACCAAAACUACACUGCACGCCUUUGCAGGAUGGAGCUUCAGGCCACCAGCGGAUUUGCUCACACACCUUUCCACAUGCCCAAGGCCCUCUCCACAACAACGCGGGUCCGGCUAUGGGCGUUGUUGUACCGCGCCUCUGCCUCGCUGUUGGGCUCCUAGAUGGAGCAGUUGACAUGCUUGUAUUAUCAUAGGGGGUUGAUGGAAUAAAGUAGGUCUUGAAAUGUCAGUGCACUCACAGGGAAUAUAGACAUGCAUUUGAAAACAACAGUAUAGACUUUGCUACUAUCUCAGCAGCAGAAGGCAACAACAUGAGCAGCACCUACAGUAACACUGUGUGUGUGUGUGUAUGUUGGUACAGCUGGCGCAGAUCCUUCAACCAUUUGAGCAUUGAAACAUUUGUGCUAUGUGAACUGUGAUUUUGUGGUUGUGAUUCAACACACAACUUCAUAACUACAAUGGAUGAAAAGUAAUGGUAAAAAAACUGUAUCUGUGCAUUUAAAAUAUCAUGAAAUACUUGUGUGUGGUAACAGUAUUCAGUUUUCAGUGUCACAGUGAAAACACAUAACAAGGGCAACAUUGGGCAAAUGCUGCAUAAAGGCAUGAAAAUAUUCCAGUGAAAUGAAGGGCAAUGAUAAAGUAAAGUAUUCAUUUAUAUAGCGCUUUUAGAACAGAGUGAAACCCAAAGCACUUACACAACAACAUGUUGUUCAACAUUGUUCAUAUUACAUAUCCAUAUUUAUUCUGCUCUUACUGUAAGGUAAGUGCUAAGAUA